AGACAUCCAGGAGAGCUACAAUUGAUACCCGAAAAGCCUGUCCAGAUCAGUACAGUGAUUGCAGGAACUGAACAGAAGACUCCAAUCAGUGAAGCUAUGCCUUUGAAGCAGAUGAAGUCUGUUAACAGAACAAAGUCUGCAGAGUUCCGUGAAGAAGUGGAUAACAAUAUCGAACAGAAGCCUUUAUCCAGGCUCUCUGACAAACCUGAUCCUGAUGUCCCUGGGACUACAAUAGAAGACAAUGACAGUACCUCUGUUGUUAAGGUAAAAA